rnacentral:tRNA from 1 species
GCGUCUGUAGCCUAGUUGGUAAAGGCAGCACACUAGUACUGAGGUCGUGAGUUUGACUCUCACCAGACACA